CAAAAGGGUGAAUACAUUGUUCGAUAAAGUUCUUGGUGAAAAUGAAAAAUGUGUCUUUUAUUUUUACUUAAAAACCGAAGGCACUUUUUGGCCAACCCAAUAGUACUUGACCAGUUAGUGACAAGACCCGGGUUUGGAUUACCCUUCGGAUUUAAUAGGCGCGAUGGAUAUUAGAGCAUUUUAGAAGUACCCCAGUUGCUGCUAUUUAAUUGGAAAAGGAAACACCAUUGUGUUUGAGGGUAACCAUAAUAAGAGCAUGUUUUUUAAUAUUAAUUUUUUUAAGGAUACGUGUUUUGAUUUAUAUUGUUAGAUUUGCUUACAAAGGAUAUGUGGCCAAUUUACAGUAAGGAAGAUGUCUCUGUAAUUGUUUUUGCCUUAUCUCUUUUCCUUUCAAUAUUUUUGGCAGGACUCAGUAACCUAGCAGCCUCCUACUUGAGUCCAGUAAGAUCUUUCAUGCCGCAGAUGCCGAAGUUGCUGAAGUCUCUCUUCCCCGUCCGCGACGAGAAAAGGGGCAAACAGCCAUCUCCCCUCACACAUCAGUGUCCUGCGCUCUGCUUAUGGCUGCCUUGUCGACUUCAGGGAUCUUUGUCUCCGGUUUCAACACAGCUUCCAGCAUGGAAGAUGGACAGGGCCUUGAGUAGAGACAGCAGCGCCCUGCGCAUCUCUGGCCUAGUUGAAAAGAUGCUUGGCUAGUUCUUCCAGCUUUCAUGUCAGCGAUUCCUCCAUGUAUGAAAUGGAGAGGAACAAACACAGCUACUGGUUCUUCCCUUGCGCAUGAAGAUGCUGUUUUAAGGCUCUUCAUACUUGGGCUCCUCUGAUGAAACAAGCCAUAUAAAUGCCUAUCCUGGUGUCUUAAGGGUUCAUCAUCUUAACUAACUAAAAUAAGAAAAGGGAGCACGGGUUUGAUCCUUGGUCGAGGAACUAAGAUCCCGCAUGCCACGCAGCGUGGUCAAAAAGACCCAAGAAUUCAAGGCAAGUGAUUUCUGUUCGGUUGCUUUGGGGAUGUAUUCUUAGGCAUUCUUCUUCUUCUUUUUUUUUUUAAAUUUAUUUAUUUUAUUUAUUUUAUUUUUGGCUGUGCGCGGGCUUUCUCUAGUUGCGGUGAGUAGGGGCUGCUCUUUGUUGCGGUGCUCGAGCUUCUCACUGCAGUGGCUUCUCUUGUUGCGGA